UAUCCCUAAGUUGGGGGUAAUUAAUAUACUAUAAAAAGACCAAAUAGCCUCACGAACAUCAUCGCGUUCGAUUUCUUUAUCUCAUCUCAUUCGACACAUUCGUAUAUUUCGUUUGAUAAAUCGUGGCCUCGUGUUGUAGUCAGUAUAUUUUUGUGAUUAAUAUAAUUCAUUUGUGUUAAAACUUUAUAAUAAAAUAUGCCCUCGAUAUCUUCAUUGGUGAAAAUAUUAGUAUAUUUAAACGAGAUUUUAAAUUAGACAUUUCUACGCAUACUAAAUCAACGAUCAAAGCAACUUCAAAUCAACGACUAUUAAUUUGAAUACAAGUGUUUGAUGCAAUAUUUCACUGUUAACUUAAUCUAUUGUGAGCAUUAUAAUCCGACAUGACAGAUUUUCAAUGAUUUUCAUUUGGAAUCCUCAACAAUGUAUGAAAAAACUGAGAUGUCAGUUAAGUGGCUUAGUUAUGGGGGGGAGGGAGAUGGGGAUUGAUACCUUAGAAGAAAUUUAUUUACACGGUAAAGAUAUAAUUUUCUUGGUUUGCAGUGUUAUAAUACAUUCACCACCCAUUAUUCAGUAGUCUAUAAAUUAUGGUCUAUUAGUCAUCAAAUUUAAUAUAAAAUAUUCAUGUCAAUCCUUUAAACUAUACCGAGAAAUAUGUCUAAAAAUGCAUUACUACAAAUCUAAUGUAAUCUUAUUAUAUAAUAAAACAAGGAAAAAAACGCUUUUCUGAAAAAAUUACUUAGCGUGCUCGGAUUUUCAAAAUAACUAUAAGA